rnacentral:tRNA from 1 species
AUUUAAAUAAUUUAUAUAAAAUAUUGGUUUGUGAAACCAAAAAAAUAUGAAAAAUAUUUUAAAUA